UAUUAGAUGUGUGAACUGAAACAAGAUUCUUAACAGCUUCAGUUUCUCACUCAGUAAAAUGAGACUAUUCAUAGCUACAUUUUUUAUUCUGUAUUUUUUUAUUGAUAUAUCAUAGUUGUACAAACAUUUGGAGUACAUGUGAUACUUUGAUACAUGUGUGUGAUAUACAAUGAUCAAAUCAGGGUAAUGGGGAUAUCCAUCAUCUAAAACAUUUAUCUUUUCUUUAUGUUGGGAACAUUGCAAUUCUUCUCUUCUAGUUAUUUUGAAAUACACAAUAAAUUAUUGUUAACUACAAUUUCUCUAAUAUACUAUCCAAUAUUAGAACUUACUCCUUCUAUCAAUUGUAUUUUUUUACCUAUCAACCAACUUCUCUUCAUUUCCCCCCAAUCCUAUCUACUUUAACAGUGGUUUUUGAAGAUUUAAAUGAAGCAGACUGCAUGAAAGUACCUGCGUCAGGAUUUUGCACAUAAACAGUUCUUUGGAAAUACUUUGGAAUCAACGAAUGAAUGUACGAAUUUAUUCUAACUGGCAGGAAUCUUAUGCAGAUUUCUAGCUGUUAAAGUUUUUGUUUUUUUCCAUCUCUACCUCAGAGGAAAUUUAAGUCCUCAUUAAUUCCUAAGGACAGGGUCAAUGUUUUGCAAUUCUCUAUGUCCCUGCAGCCUGUUUAAUUGGAUGGUUACCAAGAAUCAUGUGACUUUUUGACCCGGGUGAUGAUUAAUUGGUUCAAAAUUGCCGGGAACUAUUCAGUGCCAGGCAGACAUGCAGGAUUUGCAGAGGAUAAGACUUGCUUCUGCCCCUGAGAAUCUGACAGUCUUGAUACAGAUCUUUAUGCAUGCAAUUUUGGUACAUUAAGCUAAGAGGUUACCGAUGUCUGCACCCAGCAUGCUCCGAGCCAAGCCCCGGAGGAGUGUGGCUUGGGGGAAGCACACCUGAACAGAGUCUGCAGGUUUAAUGAGCAAAGAGUGGGGGUAUUUCUCAAACCUUAUUGUGCAUGUAGAUCACCUGGGGAUCCUACCCAAAGGAAGAUUCUGAUUCUGUAGGUUGGGGUGGGGCAGGGGUUCUCCUAGGUCUAUAUUUCUACCAAGCUCCCCAGGGAUACAAAUGUUGUUAGUCCGUGAACCCCAUUUAAAGAAGCAAGUCAAGGCUCACAGACUGCCAUGAGCAAAGAGGUAUAAAAACAGAUCUUGUAAAUCUCAUCUUUAACGAGCAAUAACCCAAGGCUCAGAGAGGUUAAGAAACGUGUCCAAAGUCACAUCACAUAGCCAGGAAGUGUCAGAGCCAAGACUGCAACCUGGGUCUGAGUCCCCAGGUCCUUGUUUCCUUCUCCACAUCAUGCUGCUCCUCACAAUACCACGCAGCUCCAUUGUUUCCUUAAGUCCGCAUGAAACGGGGCUACUUCUCAAGUUUGGUUUGUCAAGUACUGUUGGAAGAUAAAAUGGAAAGACUGGGGUACUCGGAUCAGGAGGCUUGGGCUCUGGUCUCACCAGUCCCUCCACUCCCUGGGUGCCUUCCCUCUCCUACCCCCACCAACAAGAGUUGUUCUGCCCCUCUGGACACUGGUUCUUCAGAUUUGAAGUGAAAAUUUGGCCUCUGGCCUUAAGGAUCUUACUAGCUACAUUUUGGGGCUCAAACGGACAUCACCACUUAUAUAAAAAUGCUGUGAAAUUGCUGAGCUAUUCCAGGGGCUGGAGGGGACUGCAUUGUCCAGCAGCAAAGAGCAGGCUGACCUUGGUGGCAAGAAACCAGACAUGAGCCACUUGGGUCUAUUUCCAGGCCUUGAAGCCAAAUGGAGCAUCCCUGGCUGGAUUUUUCUUUCCUUUUUUUUUUUUAGACAGAGUCUCACUCCACUGCCCAGGCUGGAGUGCAGUGGUGCAAUCUCGGCUCAGUGCAACCUCUGCCUCCUGGGUUCAAGUGAUUCUCCUGCCUCAGCCUCCAGAGUAGCUGGGAUUACAGGAGUGUGCCACCACACCCAGCUAAUCUUUUGUAUUUUUAGUAGAUGAGAUUUCACCACGUUGGCCAGGCUGGUCUUGAACUCCUGACCUCAAGUGAUCUGCCUGCCUCGGCCUCCCAAAGUGCUGGGAUUACAGGCAUGAGUGAGCCAUCAUGCCUGGUCCCUGCUGGAUUUUGAAGUUGCUGGGGACUGAUGACUUCUUUUUUCCGUCUAUUUCUCUCUCUCUCUCCUUUUUUUUUUUUUUUUGAGACAGUGUCACUCUGUCGCCCAGGCUGGAGUGCAGUGGCGGGAUCUCGGCUAACUGCAAGCUCCCCCUCCCGGGUUCACGCCAUUCUCCUGCCUCAGCCUCCCAAGUAGCUGGGACUAUAGGCGCCCACCACCACGCCCGGCUAAUUUUUUUGUAUUUUUAGUAGAGAUGGGGUUUCACCAUGUUAGCCAGGAUGAUCUCAAUCUCCUGAACUCGUGGUCCGCCUGCCUCGGCCUCCCAAAGUGCUGGGAUUACAGGAGUGAAACAUCACGCCUGGCUUCUCUCCCUUUUUAAAUAGGAAUGUCUAUAACUGUUAUUCUAUGCCUGUUUCACCAGUGAAUUUAGGGAGCAGAUAACUUGUUUCUUAAUUUUCACAGGUUCAUAGAGAGCAAUGUAUUCCAGGGUGGAUUAAACAUGGAGCCUCCUUUUUACCUAAUUUGAAUGGGUUAGUUUAGAUGAUGAGAUUUGGGGUGUUUAAGUUGUUAAGAUUUAGGAUUUUGACUUGAUACUGCCAUAUCCUAGGUCUUUAGGGGAUGUGGGGAUAGGGUGAUCUGUUUUGCAUUUGGGAUGGAUGUGAAUCUUUUGAGGGCCAGAGGGUGAACUCUGGUACUCUGAAUAAUGGUUCCCGAAAUAUGGCCAUGUCUUAGAUCCCUGGCAUCUGUGAAUAUAUGUUCCAUGGCAAAGAGGAAUUAAGGCAGCAGAUUGAAUUAAGUUUGCCAGUGAACUGACUUUAAUAUAGGUGAUUAUCCUAGAUUAUGAGCAGGUCUGUGUAAUCAGCAAGGAGGGCCUUUACAUGUGAAAGGGGUGGCAGAAGAGGAGAACCAAAGAGAUGGCAGGGUGAGGACUCUACCCAAUGUUGCUUCCUCCAUGUGAACAUGAAGAGGGCCACAAGCCAGGGAAAGUGGGUGGCCUCUAAAAACAGAAAAGGCAAGGAAACAGCUUCUUGCCUAGAGCCUCCAAGAUUGUAAGACAAUACAUCUAUGCUGUUUUACGUUUGUGGUAAUUUGUUAUAGCCGCUAUAGCAAAUUAAUAUAAGACCUAUCCUACAAUUUAAUGCUCUAGGAUCUUAGACUAAUCAUUUCAUCUUUGCAUUCUUUAGUAUUCUUUCUUUCUCAAAAUAACUGCUGUGAAGAUCAGACAGAACAAAUAGGCAGAAAUCCCUGGCACACAGGUGCUCAAUAAAUGUGAAUUUCUAGCUUCCCCUUUUCUUCCAGGUUGGAGAAACACAAGGAAGGGAAGCAGGAGCCACAGGCCAUUCUCAGCCUUCCUUUGAUGUGGGCUGUGUACAGGAUUCCCUCAGUAAGCUCCCCCAGCAUACCUUAUCUAGAGUGAGGGCUGCUUAUCUGCCCUCGGGGUUCCUACAGCUCCUACCUCUCUGAUGGAAAAAUCCUCUUUAGAAUACAAAAGCUCUUUAGAAGAGCCUGAGAUGAGGGUAGAGCCAGGGCCUCAUUCUGCAAACAGGCUUUCAGAGAUGAAAGAGCAGGGCAGACAUCGGUAUCUACCCUAUGACCACCACAUUUCCCACUGAAAAAAAUCAGGAGUUGGUGCGCUGAGAUGAGGCAAGCCCACUCAAAGAGGCCAGCCCGCGAUGCUUCCUUCUCCUACCCACACACCUGAGACAAACAUCUCUCAAACACUCCAGGCUUGCAAGUCCUUAAUUAGUUGUGUUACGAGCUUUUAUUUAAAAAGCACAUUUAAUACAAGUAUAGUUUCGCAGAUACAAGUUUU
rnacentral:lncRNA from 1 species